rnacentral:rRNA from 1 species
ACCGGCAGCUCAAGUGGUGGCCAUUUUUAUUGGGCUUAAAGCGUUCGUAGCUGGUUUGAUAAGUCUCUGGUGAAAUCCUCCAGCUCAACCGUGAGACUUCUUAGGGAUACUGUCAGACUAGGGACCGGAAGAGGUGAGAGGUACUCCCGGGGUAGGAGUGAAAUCCUGUAAUCCUUGGGGGACCACCUGUGGCGAAGGCGCCUAACCGGAACGGAUCUGACAGUGAGGAACGAAAGCCAGGGGAGCAAACCG